rnacentral:rRNA from 1 species
AGAGUUUGAUCAUGGCUCAGAACGUACGCUGGCGGCACGCCUAACACAUGCAAGUCGAACGAAGUAGCAAUACUUAGUGGCAGACGGGUGAGUAACAUGUAGGUAUCUACCCUUUGGCCUGGAAUAACACGAGGAAACUUGUGCUAAUACCGGAUAAGUCUUUACGGAGAAAGCUUUAUGCACCAUUGGAUGAGCCUGCACUUGAUUAGUUUGUUGGUAGGGUAAUGGCCUACCAAGACUUUGAUCAAUAGCUGAUUUGAGAGGAUGAUCAGCCACAUUGGGACUGAGACACGGCCCAAACUCCUACGGGAGGCAGCAGUGGGGAAUCUUGCACAAUGGAGGAAACUCUGAUGCAGCGAUGCCGCGUGAGUGAAGAAGGCCUUUGGGUUGUAAAGCUCUUUCGUCGGGGAAGAAAAUGACUGUACCCGAAUAAGAAGGUCCGGCUAACUUCGUGCCAGCAGCCGCGGUAAUACGAAGGGACCUAGCGUAGUUCGGAAUUACUGGGCUUAAAGAGUUCGUAGGUGGUUGAAAAAGUUGGUGGUGAAAUCCCAGAGCUUAACUCUGGAACUGCCAUCAAAACUUUUCAGCUAGAGUUUGAUAGAGGAAAGCAGAAUUUCUAGUGUAGAGGUGAAAUUCGUAGAUAUUAGAAAGAAUACCAAUUGCGAAGGCAGCUUUCUGGAUCAUUACUGACACUGAGGAACGAAAGCAUGGGUAGCGAAGAGGAUUAGAUACCCUCGUAGUCCAUGCCGUAAACGAUGUGUGUUAGACGUUGGAAAUUUAUUUUCAGUGUCGCAGCGAAAGCGAUAAACACACCGCCUGGGGAGUACGACCGCAAGGUUAAAACUCAAUGAAUUGACGGGACCCGCACAAGUAGUGGAGCAUGUGGUUUAAUUCGAAGAUACGCGCAGAACCUUACCAACACUUGACAUGUUCGUUGCGACUUUAAGAGAUUAAAGUUUUCGGUUCGGCCGGACGAAACACAGGUGCUGCAUGGCUGUCGUCAGCUCGUGUCGUGAGAUGUUGGGUUAAGUCCCGCAACGAGCGCAACCCUCACUUUUAGUUGCCAUCAUUUAGUUGGGCACUCUGAAAGAACUGCCAGUGAUAAGCUGGAGGAAGGUGGGGAUGACGUCAAGUCCUCAUGGCCCUUACGUGUUGGGCUACACACGUGCUACAAUGGUAUCUACAACAGGAAGCAAAACGGCGACGUUAAGCAAAUCCUUAAAAGAUACCUCAGUUCGGAUUGUACUCUGCAACUCGAGUACAUGAAGCUGGAAUUACUAGUAAUCGUGGAUCAGCGUGCCACGGUGAAUGCGUUCCCGGGUCUUGUACACACCGCCCGUCACACCAUGGGAGUUGGUUCUACCUUAAGGCAAGGUUUAAAACCCUUGACCACGGUAUAGUCAGCGACUGGGGUGAAGUCAUAACAAGGUAGCCGUA